GAUGAACGCUGGCGGCGUGCCUAAUACAUGCAAGUCGAGCGAACAGAUGAGGAGCUUGCUCCUCUGACGUUAGCGGCGGACGGGUGAGUAACACGUGGAUAACCUACCUAUAAGACUGGGAUAACUUCGGGAAACCGGAGCUAAUACCGGAUAAUAUAUUGAACCGCAUGGUUCAAUAGUGAAAGACGGUUUUGCUGUCACUUAUAGAUGGAUCCGCGCCGCAUUAGCUAGUUGGUAAGGUAACGGCUUAACAAGGCAACGAUGCGUAGCCGACCUGAGAGGGUGAUCGGCCACACUGGAACUGAGACACGGUCCAGACUCCUACGGGAGGCAGCAGUAGGGAAUCUUCCGCAAUGGGCGAAAGCCUGACGGAGCAACGCCGCGUGAGUGAUGAAGGUCUUCGGAUCGUAAAACUCUGUUAUUAGGGAAGAACAAAUGUGUAAGUAACUAUGCACGUCUUGACGGUACCUAAUCAGAAAGCCACGGCUAACUACGUG
rnacentral:rRNA from 1 species